CAUCCUGGGGCUGAAGUAGGUCCCAAGGGUAUGGCUGUUCGCCAUUUAAAGUGGUACGCGAGCUGGGUUUAGAACGUCGUGAGACAGUUCGGUCCCUAUCUGCCGUGGGCGCUGGAGAACUGAGGGGGGCUGCUCCUAGUACGAGAGGACCGGAGUGGACGCAUCACUGGUGUUCGGGUUGUCAUGCCAAUGGCACUGCCCGGUAGCUAAAUGCGGAAGAGAUAAGUGCUGAAAGCAUCUAAGCACGAAACUUGCCCCGAGAUGAGUUCUCCCUGACUCCUUGAGAGUCCUGAAGGAACGUUGAAGACGACGACGUUGAUAGGCCGGGUGUGUAAGCGCAGCGAUGCGUUGAGCUAACCGGUACUAAUGAACCGUGAGGCUUAACCUUACAACGCCGAAGGUGUUU
rnacentral:rRNA from 1 species